CGGCAACGGAUAUCUCGGCUCUCGCAUCGAUGAAGAACGUAGCGAAAUGCGAUACUUGGUGUGAAUUGCAGAAUCCCGUGAACCAUCGAGUCUUUGAACGCAAGUUGCGCCCGAAGCCGUCAGGCCGAGGGCACGCCUGCCUGGGCGUCACACGCCGUUGCCUUCCCC
rnacentral:rRNA from 3 species